UCACGAUGAUGAACGUUUUAUCCACCAUUCGCAGUUUCCUCCAGAAAGGAGGUCUUCUCCUUUGUGUUGGCAAAUCCUUCCUUGGAUGUCUGAGUGA